AUUGAACGCUGGCGGCAUGCCUUACACAUGCAAGUCGAACGGUAACGGGCCUUCGGGUGCCGACGAGUGGCGAACGGAUGAGUAAUGCAUCGGAACGUACCUUUCAGUGGGGGAUAACGUAGCGAAAGUUACGCUAAUACCGCAUAUUCUGUGAGCAGGAAAGCGGGGGAUCGCAAGACCUCGCGCGGACGGAGCGGCCGAUGGCAGAUUAGGUAGUUGGUGGGAUAAAAGCUUACCAAGCCGACGAUCUGUAGCUGGUCUGAGAGGACGACCAGCCACACUGGGACUGAGACACGGCCCAGACUCCUACGGGAGGCAGCAGUGGGGAAUUUUGGACAAUGGGGGAAACCCUGAUCCAGCCAUGCCGCGUGCAGGAUGAAGGCCUUCGGUUGUAACUAGCUUUGUACGGAACGAAAGAACUCUUUCUAAUACAGAGGGUCCGAUGACGGUACCGUAAGAAUAAGCACCGGCUAACUACGUGCCAGCAGCCGCGGUAAACGUCUA
rnacentral:rRNA from 1 species